GAUGAACGCUGGCGGCGUGCCUAAUACAUGCAAGUCGAGCGAACAGACGAGGAGCUUGCUCCUCUGACGUUAGCGGCGGACGGGUGAGUAACACGUGGAUAACCUACCUAUAAGACUGGGAUAACUUCGGGAAACCGGAGCUAAUACCGGAUAAUAUAUUGAACCGCAUGGUUCAAUAGUGAAAGACGGUUUUGCUGUCACUUAUAGAUGGAUCCGCGCCGCAUUAGCUAGUUGGUAAGGUAACGGCUUACCAAGGCAACGAUGCGUAGCCGACCUGAGAGGGUGAUCGGCCACACUGGACCUGAGACACGGUCCAGACUCCUACGGGAGGCAGCAGUAGGGAAUCUUCCGCAAUGGGCGAAAGCCUGACGGAGCAACGCCGCGUGGGUGAUGAAGGUCUUCGGAUCGUAAAACUCUGUUAUUAGGGAAGAACAAAUGUGUAAGUAACUAUGCACGUCCUGACGGUACCUAAGCAGAAAGCCCCGGCAACUUACGU
rnacentral:rRNA from 1 species